rnacentral:misc_RNA from 1 species
UACGGAGGGUGCAAGCGUUAUCCGGAAUCACUGGGUUUAAAGGGUGCGUAGGCGGCUUAGUAAGUCAGAGGUGAAAGGUUGCAGCUUAACUGCGAGAGGGCCUUUGAUACUGCAAAGCUUGAAUCAGAUAGAGGUUAGUGGAAUGCGACAUGUAGCGGUGAAAUGCAUAGAUAUCACAUAGAACACCGAUCGCGAAGGCAGCUUGCUAAACUAUAACUGACGCUGAGGCACGAAAGCAUGGGUAGCGAACAGG